rnacentral:lncRNA from 1 species
AUGAUAAAAUUUGUUUUAUGGAAGUAUUUAAAAAUAAAAUAUAUCAUAGUAAAGACAAAAGAUUCUAAAUGUGAUAAACGUUCCUUUUUAAAGAGUACUGGGGAGCAGGGGUGGAGGAGGAGGAAGUUGGGCAAAGUCAGUCCAGGCAGAAGGCAGAUCGCCUCAGUGAGAGAACUGCCUGCGGUCUGCUGGCUUCUUACUGAUGUGUUUAAAGAUCUUGGACUUCUCCACUUUCUUUGUUUUCUGGUAGCCGAAUCCCCCACCACCACCUCUCUUUUUAAGCUUGCCGUCCACAACGUCACAAAGGAUACUCAUAUCAACAAAAGGAGGACCUUAAAACCAAAAGACAGAGCAACUUGAGGCAAAUUUAGUUGUUGACAUUGAAGAUCUGCUUGAGAGAGUGGGAGUCAUAUGCCGUAUGUAGACUUGUACGCUUCCUGGGCAGACUUGUGCAGAAAGUAGUUCUUUUCGAUCAGUUUUUCCAGCUGAAAUAGAAAAAGGCAGAUGUCAACUGAGAAGUCAAACUGAUACAAAGCCAUUACCUUGGAUUGUUUCAAGUACCGAAGGAAACCCAGCUCUUCAGGGGCGCAAGAUGAGCAGGCGUGCCCUCUUCCAUUCAGGCCUCGGGCUGUUCUGCCGACCCGAUGAUGUACUCCUUUACCUUGGGGUCAUCGGGAGGAUCGUACUGAACAAUCCAGUCCACUUCAGGGAUGUCCAGCCCUCUGGCCGCCACAUCAGUGCACAGCAGUAAUCCCGAAUCUGCGUUGCAGAAUUGGAAGAACGUGGUUGUUCGCUUAUUUUGCUUUUGCUUUCCAUGGAUGGCUAAGACAGGCAGGUCAUGUAGUUCAGCAGCUCAUAGUGGUAUUUCACAGACAUACAGGAGGAAAAGAAGACAUCACUUUCUUCUUCCGGUUCUUCUUAAGGAAAUGUGGAAAAGCAGAAGGAACCUCUUCUCAGAGGGACAGACAACAUACCUACCUGCUCAAGGCCAUCCACUGUGGCAACCUCUUUGUCGUCGUCAACACCCACGUUACAAUGCUCCUUUUUUUCAGGGAAAUUCUUGCCAAGUCUUCAACUUUUCGAGUUGUGUGGCAGAGAAGAGCAUGGUUUGCCUACAUGCCACCCACUUACCUGGCAAAAGUAAUGAUCUGCUUUAAUUCUUCUUCAAACCCAACAUCCAAGAUACGGUCGGCCUCAUCGAUAACCAACACUGCAGUUCUUGUACAUAAACCCUGGUGUGUUCUGCAUGUGGUCUAGGAGCCGGCCUGGGGUGGCCACGACGAUGUUGAUCCCAUUGAGAAGCUUCUGUACUCAGCAACCUGUUACUGCCACCCAUGAUCAGCCCGUACGUGUGAACGUGGUGUUCAUCAGUUCCUUAAGCACACCAAAGGUCUGCAUGGCCAGUUCUCUGGUAGGAGAGAGAAUCAGGACUCCUAGCCUUACCAUUCCUGGGCAUGAACUUCAAUUUGACAAUGAGCUCGAUCACAGGGAUGAGGAAAGCAAGGGUCUUGCCGCUGCCGGUUUUCGCAGCCGCCAGAAGAUCCCUUAAAGUGGCCUGAUACUUUUAUGCUGGAUCUCUGUCAUGUGCUUGAAGCCCAUUUCUUCUAUGGCCUUCAGGGUGUUCUCAUUGACGAGAUUAGACAAGGAAAGCAAACGAAGUGUCCUCGAAAGCACCUAAUAGGAGAUUGCUCACUGUCAGCAAGCCACUGGGCACCUCACUGUCAUCUGCCUCCUUCACACCAUCUUCUGGUUCCUCACCAGCCCCUUCUGGUUCCUCACCAGCCCCUUCUGGUUCCUCACGAGCCUCCGUGCCUUCUUCAGUUUUUGCUUUUUUGGGAUCUUGGCUCAGUGUCAUUUCCAAUUUUCCUCUUCUUCUUCUUUUUCUUCUUUAGUUCUGGAUCUGUAGAUGGCAUUGCUGCUGCUUCUCCAUUGGUUAAAAUGGUAAGUUUUUGGGGUGACUUUUUAACUUUGGCAUUUUCCACAGUCUCCUCGGGCACGCCUCUACUUUGUGCUUCUGCUGAGCCUGCAGUCACAGAAUGCUUCAGGGCCUUUUUAGCUUUUCCACCUUUUCCUAGUUCUUCAGGACAUCUCCAUUUUCAGGCUGUGACAGGCUCCUGUCUGAUGCUUCUCUUCAGGUUCCGUUGCCGCAGCUUGGCGUUCCGCUUUUCGAUCUUCUUGCGCAGGAGUUUCAUCUGUAAAUGCGACAUGUUGCCGGGUUGCCCAGCCGUCUGCACCGAGCGACAGAUGCACGUGCGCAGUUCCGAGUCGGAAGUGUUGU